AUCCAGCUGGCGAGUCCCGAAUAUGACGAAACACGAGUCCUGGAU
rnacentral:hammerhead_ribozyme from 1 species